GUACCUUUUCACUCCUUCUCUAGACUCUGGGACCUUGAUUUUCAAAUGAAAUGCUAAAUUUACUUUUGUCUGAAAAGAAGACUUUUGACAACUCAGCAGCAUUC